rnacentral:snRNA from 1 species
GGAUGUGAGAGUGAUCUGGUUGUGAUUUCUGUCACUCCAUUGUUCACUAGUGUUGCCUCUGCAAAUCUGUCUGGUUAUAAAGGUGUCCCCUUCCUCCCUUGCUGUUCCAUGUUCCCAAAGCCAUGCAGUGUGUUGAAUAGGAGGACCUGCCUCCCACCCUAGAGGAUGACUCUCUUCAGUCUGUAGAGCAGUAGUAGCUGCAGGGCGUGGUGGCACACACCUUUGAUCCCGGCACUCAGGACACAGAGGUAGGAGGAUUGCUGUGAGUUUAAGGCCAGCCU